CAUGACUAAAACUUUCAUUUUUAUUGGCCUUUUCAUCAGAUUCUAUACAAAAGCCGAUGCGAUAAUAGACUAAAUGAGAUCAGCGCAAGAACUUCUGCUGACAAAAAAGAGGAGAAAAAAAUGGAUCUGUAUAGGACAAUUGUCAAAAUGGUAAAACUGAUGCUAUCCAGGAUCGUGCUAAUCAGAUUCAGGCAGACCUCGAGGGGCUAG